rnacentral:lncRNA from 1 species
GAAACAUGGAUUUCUACGACAUUUCCUUAAUUGACGGGUUUAACAUCCCCAUGGUGUUUGGUCCAACUAAUGGCGGUUGUCACAACAUUCGGUGCACAGCAGACCUCAAGGGACAAUGCCCGAAUGAGUUAAGGGCUCCUGGUGGGUGCAAUAACCCAUGCACAGUGUUCAAAACCAAUGAGUAUUGUUGCACUCAAGGGUACGGAACCUGUGGUCCGACCUAUUUCUCAAGGUUUUUCAAGGACCGGUGCCAUGAUUCAUACAGUUAUCCUCAGGAUGAUCCUUCAAGCACCUUUACUUGCCCCGCUGGUUCCAAUUACAGGGUUGUGUUUUGCCCUAGAGGCUCACCCCGCAUAGAGAUGGUCGGAAGCAAGAACCAAGAAAAGUAAAGGGAUGAUCUCUUGGAGUAGUUGAUUUGCAUUUGGGAAUAAAAAAUAAAGAUCAUUUGGUCUUUCGAAAUGAUACUGAACCUAUGGAUGUAUCUGUUUUAUUUUGCAUAUGUUUUGUUUAAUGGAAGAGCAAAAACAAAUAAAUACUAUUUUUUUUGGUGAAUUAUAAUAAUAAGACAAAUUCUGGAUAAUAAACUAUUAUUCAGAUUCAAAUUUAGAUCACAUUUUGGAUGAUGAAUGGCCCAUCACAUGGUUCAAACUGCUUGUAAGUAGAAUGAGACAUUCUGUGGUAGAAACCAACUAAACUCAAGAACAUUACCUCAAAAACGAAUUUAAGGUAAUGUCAUUUUUUAAUGCUUUUAGACUUUCCUCGUCAACUUGAAUUCCUGCUGAACUUAUUAUAAAACCCCAAAAAGAAAAUCUUAUCCAUGCAAUUACCAAAAAGUUGUUCAUGUCCUUCUUUGGUGCGUCGAUGAUCUGGCAAAACCAGGUAAACCUACCUGAUGAAAACCAAUACCAUAACAUCAUUGACCACCUUCAAGACCACCACCGUCCCCCCAGUUAUCUCAUCACUCUCGGUUCGCUCCCUCGAUCGAAACAACGCCUCCAACUACACUCUAUCACAACUCUCUCGCUUUUCAAGCCACACACAUCAUCUUCACCAUCCUUGCCAAAAACCGCCAUCUCCAACCUGAAACGAAUUGGGUGGAGCCAGCACUCAAAAACACCAUGAGCGAACGCACACGAAUCGUCUUUUUUUCAGUUCCCCUUGCGGAAGUCCGGGCAAGCGGAUUGAGAGUAACGGAACUUCCUCGAAUCCCUCCAUUGAGCCUUCUCGCUCGGGUGGGCGUACGGGCACUCGGUCAGUCAUGUGACCUUCCACGCGCACACCUCUUCACCUUGAACUCAUACAUACGAAAAUGGUCGCAUGAGAAUGCAUCGACGAUGGGUACGUCAGAGUCGUCACAAAGGGUGUCGGGCUCGAGAUCGUUCAACGAGAGGUAGCGAAGAUGGGCCAUAAGGUAGUCAACGGGACGGGCUGCAAGGUGCAUUGCAGUUAAAGUCGAGGGUUGAAAAGUUAUCCGCCUGAUCGUUUAACAAUUCCUAGUCGGGGAUUUUGACGGUGGGGAAGGGUCGUGUAGUGAGUUUUUUUAUCAUCAUAUUUUGGAUAUUGUCAGUUCUGCUAUUCUAACUAGGAUAAUGAAGAUGAAUGUGCUUGGUUUCGGGUUGUAGAUGGUGAAGAUGAUGCGUGGGGCUUGACAACAGAGAGGGUUGUGACAGAGUGUAGUUGAAGGCUUGGUUUCAAUCGAAAGAGCGAGUCCGGAGUGAUGAGAUUACUAGGGGGACGGUGGUGAUCCUGAGGGUGAUUAAUGGUGUCAUGGUAUUGGUUUUUAGUAGGUAGGUUGACUUGGUUUUGCCAGAUCAUCGGCACACCAAUUAAGGAGAAGAAAGAAAGAAAUAAUAAAGAAUGAAAGAAAAGGAAAAACAGACAGAAAAGAUAAUAAUAAAAGAAAUAUAAUAAUAUGGUGGGAUCUACUAACGAAAAUUAAUCUCAUGUCACUGUGCCGUUUGAUACUUAAUCGCACGGUGGCUAUGAAAACAAUUUCUUAAAAUUUAGGGUGAGUUUAGAUAAGCGGUGCGUUUACUUGCGGUUAGUGUAAAAAUAGCGGUGGCGGUAAGAUUAGAUACUGUAGCAAUACUGUAGUGUGAGACAAAAAGUAAACUAAACACACCGUACCGCAUCGCAUCCAAUUGUUCAUCCAAACUCGCCCUUAAUAAUGAGUUGGAUGAUUAAAGAAGCAUUAAAAAUUUAGUUACUAAUUAGAUAAUUUAUUCAAAUAAUAAUAUGUGAAUAUUUUAAUAUAUUGUAUUAAAACAGUUAUAUUUUUAAAGGGAAAUAUAAAUUCAAAUUUUAUGAACUACGAUAUGAUAAAUACGUAAAAUCGGUUAUGUUAAAAAAAUAUAGUAUUCUGCAACGUACGUAGACUGAGUAGCUAAGUGGAAAGAAAGUCAAAUGGUAGAUAUUAAAAUAAGGAAUAUCUUAUGGUUCUCCCAAAAUCCAAAUACGCUUGGCCUUAUCUUCAUUAUGAUUUGAAAGUGUUCGAUUAGCCGCCUCUACCUUUAUUAAAACAAUAUUAUGGCACUUGCCCAUGAUAUCUAUGGUACCAAAAAGCCGCCUUACUUGUAUAUAAACCCUCAGCUCCUAUGAACAAAUCCCAAAGUAAGAGCUAACCAUGAGCUACUUAACCAUUUCCCAAAUCUCCUCCCUCCUCUUCUUUAGCGUCCUUUUCAUUUCCGCUCAUGCAGCGCGCUUUGAAAUCCGCAAUGAGUGCUCCUACACCGUCUGGGCAGCAGCCUCUCCUGGUGGUGGUCGUCGCCUAGACCCUCGGCAAAGUUGGACCAUCGAUGUGCCUGCUGGCACUGCUAUGGCUCGUAUUUGGGGUCGAACCAAUUGCAAUUUCGAUGCCAGUGGUAGGGGUCAUUGCCAAACCGGUGAUUGUGGUGGACUCCUUCAAUGCAAAGGUUGGGGUGUACCUCCAAACACCCUGGCUGAAUAUGCACUUAACCAAUUUGGAAACAUGGAUUUCUACGACAUUUCCUUAGUUGAUGGGUUUAACAUCCCCAUGGUGUUUGGUCCAACUAAUGGCGGUUGUCACAACAUUCGGUGCACUGCAGACAUCAACGGACAAUGCCCGAAUGAGUUAAGAGCUCCCGGUGGGUGCAAUAACCCAUGCACGGUAUUUAAGACCAAUGAAUAUUGUUGCACUCAAGGGUACGGAACCUGUGGUCCGACCCGUUAUUCAAGGUUUUUCAAGGACCGGUGCGGUGAUUCAUACAGUUAUCCUCAAGAUGAUCCUUCGAGCACCUUUACUUGCCCUGCUGGUUCCAAUUACAGGGUCGUGUUUUGCCCCAGAGGCUCACCUCAUAUAGAGAUGGUCGGAAGUAAGAGCCAAGAAAAAUAAAGGGAUCAUCUCUUGGU